GGGGUCAGUGGCUGCUGUGAGGACAAGGAUGUGGCACUGCUAGAGGAGCUGCCUGUGAGAAACAUCAAGGAGGUACAAAACAGUAGCAAUACAGAGCUCUUGCAAUGUAAUGACAACAGUUCAGGACCUGAGCCUCUAACUACUUUUCAAAGAGACUCGUAGAACAACCUGUGUUGGGAGGGAAUCACAAGGAUUGCCAAAGUCCAGCUCCUGGCCCUGCACUCCAAGAAUCCCCCCAUGUGCCUGAGAGCAUUGUCUGGAACCCUGUCAAGCUGGUACUGUGACCACUGCCCUGGGGAGCCUGUUCCAGUGCCCAGCCAUCCUCAGGGAAGGAUGAGUAUCUUUUGCCUUGGCUGUGGGUAUUUACUCAUGUUUUUGGCUGGAUCCAAGAUGUCACAAGAGGAUUUCUAGAUUUUUUUUUUUGAUUUAGUGGGUAAUUGUUAACGUCAAGAUUGCUCUCACAAUAUCCAGCUGGGUGAGGAUUUUAAAAUCAACUUUGGGAGAGUUCAACUAGAAUUCCAUUAUGAAAUGUAGAUUUUAAGGUACUUCACAAUAAAAGGUGAAUCUCUCUACAAGGUAGAAUAGAGCAUGCAUACUGUAUGUAAUCACAGUGUUACAUAAUUCCUCAUUAUAGCCCUACAGUCUCACUUUUCAGCCAGUAGAAGAGAAUCUCUGUGUUCUGAACACUUCUGGUGUGGUGUGACUACAUAGUUUGAUAAUUGCUGUAUGUAGCUUCAUCAGAGAAUAUUGUCACAUCACAAAAGGAAGUAUGGUCCUGAGAUUAAAAGACAGUUUCAGAUUCUGGAAGCAUUUUAGUCUCUUUCUCUUGACAUGGAAUAAGGAGUCUAGCCUCCUCUUACCUCCAAUUUGCCCUUCUUCAAAAUGUUGAUAAUGAUGACUCACUUCCUCAUGGGGGUACUUUGAAGCUUAGAUGAAGUCUGAGUUGUUUCUGAUACUGAGAAAAUUGAUGUCAGAAACUGCAAUAUUGGAAUACUAAUUUUUCAAGGCUUAAAAAAAUAAUUGUCCCCAAAUAAAAAGCUAUUUUCUCUGCAAUUUUUUUCCCUCUCUAU